rnacentral:lncRNA from 1 species
GAGAAGUCAGCUUGAUGUAGCGGGUUCUGUUAAGAAAGGUUGAAGAUGAUUUUUUGGGUUUUUGUUUUGAAAAUGCGGAAUGAUGCGUGAAUGCGUGUUUUUUUUUGUUUAUGUUUUGUUCAUUAAUGAAAAGCUCAUAGUUAUCAUGUUAUUUAUUGCAAGGAACACUUAACAUUUUAUCAUUGCAAUCAAGAAUAUAGAAACACACACAAAGUGGAUCAUAAAGAAGCUUCAUUCAUCAAUUGUUUGGAAACAAGUACAAGUACAAAGGAAUUGCAAAUACAAGUUCUUGAAUUUGGAAACGAACAUGCAAACGAAAUAUAGACCCUAAAAGUAACCCCUUGAGACUUGCGGAGAGUUCGAUAUCAGUGAUAAGUCCGCCAUACUCUUCUUGCAGAACUUCACAAAGUUGAAU